rnacentral:rRNA from 1 species
UACGGAAGGCAGCAGUGGGGAAUAUUGCACAAUGGGCGAAAGCCUGAUGCAGCUAUGCCGCGUGUAUGAAGAAGGCCUUAGGGUUGUAAAGUACUUUCAUCGGGGAGGAAAAAACAAAACUAAUAAUUUUAUUUCUUGACGUUACCCGAAAAAGAAGCACCGGCUAACUCCGUGCCAGCAGCCGCGGUAAUACGGAGGGUGCUAGCGUUAAUCAGAAUUACUGGGCGUAAAGAGCACGUAGGUGGUUUUUUUAAGUCAGAUGUGAAAUCCCUGGGCUUAACCUAGGAACUGCAUUUUGAAACUGAAAUACUAGAGUAUCGUAGAGGGAGGUAGAAUUCUAGGUGUAGCGGUGAAAUGCGUAGAUAUCUGGAGGAAUACCUGUGCGAAAGCGGCCUCCUAAACGAAUACUGACACUGAGGUGCGAAAGCGUGGGGAGCAAACAGGGAUUAGAUACC